rnacentral:rRNA from 1 species
UACGUAGGGUCCGAGCGUUGUCCGGAAUUACUGGGCGUAAAGAGCUCGUAGGUGGUUUGUCGCGUUGUUCGUGAAAACUCACAGCUCAACUGUGGGCGUGCGGGCGAUACGGGCAGACUAGAGUACUGCAGGGGAGACUGGAAUUCCUGGUGUAGCGGUGGAAUGCGCAGAUAUCAGGAGGGAACACCGGUGGCGAAGGCGGGUCUCUGGGCAGUAACUGACGUGGAGGAGCGAAAAGCGUGGGGAGCGAACAGG